CCUGGCGAAUCACUGGCUACCCGCACCGCGCGCUCCCCAAAUUCCAUGGCCAAUCUCGUCCUAGCGAGCCUCCCUCCACGCGGGCAGCGGCUUCUCGACCAUCCUGGGUGACGCAGGAGGUGCUGUCGGAGCGACGGCAGCGGCACCCACGGCUGCUGCAGAUCUUACCGGAACGAGGGCUCGCUGUGCCGGAGCUGUGUUGCCCGCGAGGUGUUCGCGGAAUUGCGUGGCUCGAGGAGAACAUAGAGCGGUCUGCCAUUAAGCAGUUUACCACAGAUAAAGGAGAUGCGCAUUAUGUGAGCUAUAAGGUCAACAUUGGAAAUGGAGGACCAUGACGGCAUGAUAAGAAAAAGGACCUGAUGGAAAAACUAAAAAGAAGAGGCUAUGAGCACAACUUUUUCUCUGUGAGAAAAGAUGACCCAUGGAAUGCGCAAAAGCUUUUUCACGUGGCAAGCUGAUGCUAAAUGCUUCGUCGAGGUCGAGGGCAAGGGCGCGUAUACAGUUAACCUCCACGGCUCUCUCGCCUUGUAGCAUUUGUGCAGACAACCUCCUUCUUGGCUUGGACGCUUGGAGGGAAAGGGAGACGUCUCAUGCUCUCCUUGCUUCAGCUGGAUUCGCGGUGGGUUGAGGCACGCGGAACGCAUUUGCACGGUCGAAUAACCGCAUUCUUUUGUUCAACAAAGUACGGCAUCAUAUUGCAACGUACUAGUACAUGUCUCUCGCUACUAGUCACCACCUUAUUCCUCUUCAUUUCUUGACCUUUCUUCUCUCUUCGAGGGUCACAUCCCUUCUUCUUAUGUAUGAAAUCCGUAGCUCUUGUUUUGCUCCAGUGAAUCCAGUUCUCUCCUCCGUUUUUUAGGCAUCUGGUAUGGUAUGAAGCAAUUUGAAACGUUAGUAUGGCACCUCACGUACUCCGGCCGAUGAA